GCCGGAGUGGUGAAAUGGCAGACGCGCUGGAUUCAAAAUCCAGUGGGGGAAACCCCAUGUGGGUUCAAGUCCCACCUCCGGUACCA
rnacentral:tRNA from 1 species